rnacentral:rRNA from 1 species
AUAUUGGUCAAUGGACGCGAGUCUGAACCAGCCAAGUAGCGUGAAGGAUGACUGCCCUAUGGNUUGUAAACUUCUUUUAUAUGGGNNUCNNNUNUUCCACGUGUGGAAUUUUGUAUGUACCAUAUGAAUANNNANCNGCUAACUCCGUGCCAGCAGCCGCGGUAAUACGGAGGAUCCGAGCGUUAUCCGGAUUUAUUGGGUUUAAAGGGAGCGUAGGUGGACAGUUAAGUCAGUUGUGAAAGUUUGCGGCUCAACCGUAAAAUUGCAGUUGAAACUGGCAGUCUUGAGUACAGUAGAGGUGGGCGGAAUUCGUGGUGUAGCGGUGAAAUGCUUAGAUAUCACGAAGAACUCCGAUUGCGAAGGCAGCUCACUGGACUGUUGACUGACACUGAGGCUCGAAAGUGUGGGUAUCAAACAG